rfam:Triticum urartu cultivar G1812 contig932097, whole genome shotgun sequence.
GAAAUACUCCCUCCGUCCGAAAAUACUUGUCAUCAAAAUGAACAAAAAGAGAUGUAUCUAGAACUAAAAUACAUCUAGAUACAUCCCCUUUUAUUCAUUUUGAUGACAAGUAUUUUCGGACGCAGGGAGUAGCAA